CGAGAGAUUUCCUUCUCCCUGUGUAGUUUCACUCCCUGUUCCUCUCCCGCUGGAUCCCUGUGGUGCCAGGCAGGAAUGGCGUGCGAGGCGACCCAGCCAGCUCCCAGGGCCUUUCUGCUGCUUCCUCUACUUAUGUAUUUCACUCAGCUCUCCAAACUGACUCAGCUCCAGGAAACAAAGAAUGAAAACCAGUUUCCAGAUUUCCAUCUUAAUUAAUCCACAAUAUCCUGACCAGUAAACUAAUCUUCCAUUAUCAAAUUUCGACCAAAGAUUGCGACUUUUCUGAAGAGGCGAGUGCUGGGUGCCUCUAGUCAACCAUGUUGAUGACGUCCUUUCUAGAAAACACCCUGAUACCUUGUGCCUGUGCUUCCAAGGUGGCUGACGCUGUGCCUGUGCUUCCGAGGUGGCUGACUUCUAACUGAGUGCAGUGGAGACCCCGUGGUGCUUUACAGAACAGAUGGCAGUGCUGCCCAAGCUCAGAACACAGCUGGACGGAUCCCCAUUUUUAAAAUGUUGCUUUUAAAGUUCCUUGGUCUAUUUUAAGUCUUAGACAAUAGAGCACUAAUUUGUGUCCACAGCUAGGGAAAAAGCACCCCAAAUACUCAUGUUAUGUCACUUUCAGUACCACAAUUCAAAUAGUGAAAGACGAUGCUUCCAUGUACCACGUAUAGGUCUCUACUAGUGAUUUUUCUCUCAUUUCAACCUAGCUUCACAUAUUUUUAUGGUAUAGCUAACUCAACAUUGAUUCUAUACAAAAUAUAUUAUCUAAGAUAGUCUUUAAAAAUAUUUGAAUUCCACUGGGAUUUGUUUAAACCCCUACACAAAUAAUUACCUCUUACUAAAAACACUGAGUUUGGCAAGUGAAAUUUUGUAAUAAGGUGAAGAUUCAAUAAAAUCUUGUCUCAAACUAAUG
rnacentral:lncRNA from 1 species